UAGGGAAUCUUCCGCAAUGGGCGAAAGCCUGACGGAGCAACGCCGCGUGAGUGAUGAAGGCCUUCGGAUCGUAAAACUCUGUUAUUAGGGAAGAACAAAUGCGUAAGUAACUAUGCACGUCUUGACGGUACCUAAUCAGAAAGCCACGGCUAACUACGUGCCAGCAGCCGCGGUAAUACGUAGGUGGCAAGCGUUAUCCGGAAUUAUUGGGCGUAAAGCGCGCGUAGGCGGUUUUUUAAGUCUGAUGUGAAAGCCCACGGCUCAACCGUGGAGGGUCAUUGGAAACUGGAAAACUUGAGUGCAGAAGAGGAAAGUAGAAUUCCAUGUGUAGCGGUGAAAUGCGCGAAGAUAUGGAGGAACUCCAGUGGCGAAAGCGACUUUCUGGUCUGUAACUGACGCUGAUGUGCGAAAGCGAGGGGAUCAAACAGG
rnacentral:rRNA from 1 species